rnacentral:lncRNA from 1 species
AUGUGGCAAGGAGAAGACCCCAUGGCCAUCGACGUGGCAAGGAGAAGACCCCAUGGCCAUCGACGUGGCAAGGAGAAGACCCCAUGGCCAUCGACAUGGCAAGGAGAAGACCCCAUGGCCAUCGACAUGGCAAGGAGAAGACCCCGUGGCCAUCACUAUGGGGAGGAGAAGACCCCGUGGCCAUCACUAUGGGGAGGAGAAGACCCCGUGGCCAUCGAUGUGGGGAGGAGGAGACCCCAUGGCCAUCACCGUGGCAAGGAGAAGACCCCGUGGCCAUCACUGUGGGGAGGAGAAGACCCCAUGGCCAUCACUAUGGUGCCAUCGAUGUGGCAAGGAGAAGACCCCGUGGCCAUCGAUGUGGCAAGGAGAAGACCCCGUGGCCAUCGAUGUGGCAAGGAGAAGACCCCAUGGCCAUCGACAUGGCAAGGAGAAGACCCCGUGGCCAUCACUGUGGGGAGGAAGAAACCCCAUGGCCAUCGACGGGGCGAGGAGAAGACCCCAUGGCCAUCACUAUGGGGAGGAGAAGACCCCGUGGCCAUCACUAUGGGGAGGAGGAGACCCCGUGGCCAUCACUAUGGGGAGGAGGCCCCAUGGCCACCACCAUGGCAAGGAGAAGACCCCGUGGCCAUUGAUGGCGCGAGGAGAAGACCCCGUGGCCAUCGAUGUGGCAAGGAGAAGACCCCGUGGCCAUCACUAUGGGGAGGAGGAGACCCCGUGGCCAUCGAUGUGGUGAGAAGACCCCAUGGCCAUCACCAUGGCGAGGAGAAGACCCUGUGGCCAUCACUAUGGGGAGGAGGAGACCCCGUGGCCAUCGAUGUGGUGAGAAGACCCCAUGGCCAUCACCAUGGCGAGGAGAAGACCCUGUGGCCAUCAAUGUGGCGAGGAGGAGACCCCGUGGCCAUCGACAUGGCAAGGAGAAGACCCCGUGGCCAUCACUAUGGGGAGGAGGAGACCCCGUGGCCAUCGAUGUGGCAAGGAGAAGACCCUGUGGCCAUCACCAUGGGGAGGAGGAGACCCUGUGGCCACCACCAUGGCAAGGAGAAGACCCCGUGGCCAUUGAUGGCGCAAGGAGAAGACCCCGUGGCCAUCGAUGGGGCAAGGAGAAGACCCCGUGGCCAUCACUAUGGGGAGGAGAAGACCCCAUGGUCAUCACUAUGGGGAGGAGGAGACCCCAUGGCCAUCGAUGUGGUGAGGAGAAGACCUCGUGGCCAUCACCAUGGCAAGGAGAAGACCUCGUGGCCACCAACAUGGCAAGGAGAAGACCCAGUGGCCAUCACCGUGGCAAGAGAAGACCCUAUGGCCAUUGAUGUUGCGAGGAGAAGACCCCAUGGCCAUCACUGUGGUGAGGAGAAGACCCCAUGGCCAUCACUGUGGUGA